CCUACGGGUGGCAGCAGUAGGGAAUCUUCCGCAAUGGACGAAAGUCUGACGGAGCAACGCCGCGUGAGUGAUGAAGGUUUUCGGAUCGUAAAGCUCUGUUGUUAGGGAAGAACAAGUGCCGUUCAAAUAGGGCGGCACCUUGACGGUACCUAACCAGAAAGCCACGGCUAACUACGUGCCAGCAGCCGCGGUAAUACGUAGGUGGCAAGCGUUGUCCGGAAUUAUUGGGCGUAAAGCGCGCGCAGGCGGUUCCUUAAGUCUGAUGUGAAAGCCCACGGCUCAACCGUGGAGGGUCAUUGGAAACUGGGGGACUUGAGUGCAGAAGAGGAGAGCGGAAUUCCACGUGUAGCGGUGAAAUGCGUAGAGAUGUGGAGGAACACCAGUGGCGAAGGCGGCUCUCUGGUCUGUAACUGACGCUGAGGCGCGAAAGCGUGGGGAGCAAACAGGAUUAGAUACCCGCGUAGUC
rnacentral:rRNA from 1 species